ensembl:lncRNA
GACGCUUUCCUCCAAACUGUCAGUUUGUUGUCUCGACGAGGCGGGUGAAAUGUAAACAUACAAAUGAUCUCUCUUGGAAAUUCGUUUAAUAAUGGAAGACUAUGAAAAGUUCAUACAACGCCGACUUUACGAACUGAAAAGGAAGGAUAGCAACGACCACAACAAGAACCAACGCCGGACACUGGAAUCACCAUGUACUCGCCACGGAUCAUCAGCCAUCCGUUUCCAUGGCUCACCCAUCCUUCCUCCAUUGCUCACAGGAGUGCAAAGAGAAGAGAUGCAGAGACACAGAGAGGCAGCCAAGAGGACGAUGGAUAGGAGGAAGACUCAGCCCUCUGAGACGAGGAUGUCCUACGUUCAGAACAUUCUACACAGUGUUCAGCUGAGGCAAGCACCAACACUGGAGGAGUUCUUUCAGGGUGAACCAGGACUAACGGCAGCCAAAACCACCAACCUACACCACAGCAAUGUCCGACAGGUUCUAGCGUCGCAGAAUGAUUAUGUCACUGAGACCAAGGACAGCUUGCCGGGGUCGUCCUCCCCACCAACCUUAACCGUCAUGCAUGAUGGGAAAGCAGGCAUCCUUGUCCGAGGUCCUCCCAUGACAUCGACGGCCUACGGCGCCUUCACAACAAAUCACCUUACAACUCUCCAUAACACCACCACUGUGAGGGAGACCUUCCUAGAUAAGCUGGUCUGUGACCCCAUGACACCUUCUCUAGCUAGAGAGACAACCACACACACCAACCAGGUUGCUCCACAAACAGAGACCCGGACCAGGGAGAGACUCUUGUAUGACCAGGAUAAGACCACCAAUGCUGAAUGUGUUCUGGAGGAGGACCUGGGUUCAGGAGAAGCAACGGUGGAUCCUCUAGCUGACAUAAGCCACCAGUCUUCUGGGUACGCGACGUGUGAAAACGCGGAGGCCACCUGGGUCCUGAGUCGGACUGAGGCUGGGGAGAGCAUUUUGUCAGGGCCCGAGGAGGGGACACCAGUUGGAACGGGGGGGUAUCUCCUACACAGCACCUCUGAUACAAACACAACCAAGGCAUGUAAUAUCAUCAGCCAUCCUCCCAUUGAUGCUGAAGAUCUGGAGGAGGGGUCGUCACCGUGUGACGAUGACCUCAUAACCGGUCGCCCCGCAGAUGAGGCGAGCGUGACGUCGUCCUGGUGUAAUGACGUCAUACCAGACUAUUUAGAGGAAGCGUUGGUGACGUGGCCUCUACAGAGCAGCGAUAUCACACCUCCUGUAGAAGACCGCAGAGCAAGUCACCCAGGAAAGAAGUGUAGCACUGCUAAUAUUGUGACUUUCCCUCAGCAUCAAGCCUCAUCAUCACUAUCAGACCGUCCUGAACCCAAGAUUGUAGUGACAUGUCCUCAGGCUGAGGCUUCGACACCGGACCUCUGCAAACCAGAUCAGAACCAGGCGUCAGACUUAGACCUGGACCGACCGGAGGGACCAUACCGGCUCAGCCUCCAGACUCUUCUAAAGAAAUCCCAGGCCGCUUUGGAACGCCCCAAACCAGGCAGGAACCAGCCAGGAUCAGAACCAAAGAGCCAGGCUGGAGAUGUAGACUUGGACCCGGAACCAGUGGCAGGGCCGUACCGCCUCAGCCUCCAGACCCUGCUGAAGAAGUCCCAGGAGCACCGGAGACGCCAACGUCAGCUGAAGAACCAGACCAAGGCCUCUACUUGUCCUACCGGGACCCAGGAGGCCUCGACACACCAGAAGAUGGAGGAGGAGAUGAGUUUCUCAGACAAGGAGAAUGAGGAGUUCCUGCAGUCAGGGAGAGUGGUGGCAGAGGGAAGGAAAACCCGGGACAGGGAUUGGAGAAAGGAUCAUCUGGGGAUGGGAGUCCAGUUUUCUGGGUCGCCACCACUAGAGAUAUUCCCUAAGGAAGCGUGGGUUCAACGUGAGGAGGAGAAGGCGAGGUCUAGCAUUGUGGAAAGAAUGGGACUCGAAAAAGGAUGUCGUGAAGGAAUAUUGAAGGAAUUGGAGGCUGGAAAUGGCCCUUCACAUUUGGUUGGUCUAGAAGGAGACACCCAAUCUCCUCCAGGAGUGGACAUUGAUGCGGGCUCGGCAGUCGAAGACAUCCAGCUACACCUCUCACCAGACAUCACAGCAGCACCGUCAAUGCUAAUGGAGAACCUUCCACAUCCUAUCUCAGCCGAUGCCUCCAUAACCCAGAAAUCAUUCUACCUAGUCAGGGAGAAGAGCACUAGCCUGCCGAGGCCUUCCUCUCUGGGAGGUAGUAGGUUCCAGACCGUCCCUACCCCCCAGUUUAGUAUGAGCCCUAUCCGCUGUAAGAGUAAAGGAGACAGUGGGGGAGGAGGGCGUGGCACCCCCAAGAGGCAAAUCCUGGUAAACACACCUUUGAAUGUAGACAACGAGGUAGGGUCGGUGACUGGGCAGGAAAAUGUUGCUUGGGACCAAAGGCAUCUGCAUAGAGUGCCCCUAGUGGCUGGGGAUGGUAUAUCACAAGGCUUUACUGCUCCUACAACUCCCCUAGUGGCUGGGGAUGGUACAACACCUAUGCGUCGGAGCUCAGACCAGGCAGAACAGAUAGCUCAGCUGGAGCUCAACCUGUCCAGCCUCAAAAUACUGAUCUCAGACCUGGAGUCCACACUAACAGAGACACCAGAGAGCCACCAGACACACAACAACAGCCACACUGAUAAUAGUAGUAACCUUACCAUGGAGUUGCCACAUAAAUACAUGGACUACCAUACACCUGAGAGUCAGGCAGAGAGUAACCUUACUGACAGUGAGAAAGGAAGAGGGGAUGGAGGUCAGAGGUCAGCUGGUAAGAUGACGGUGGUCCCCUGUAGAGUCCAGGGGUGUGACAGCGUACCUCCAUUGGUCAAGGAGGUGGAGAUCACUGUUACAACAGGUUACAAAAAACAAGAUGGUCGCCAGCAGCAGCCUCUUGCAGCGCGCCUCGUCACCUCCCUCACUCAGAAGAGGAGAGUUUCUGACGUGUUCCGGAAGGUUCCAUAUGAUGUCAUCAAGGUUCCGUCGGAAGUCAUCAAGGUUCCGUCGGAAGUCAUCAAGGUUCGGAAUGACGUCAAGAUUCCAGCAUCACACAAAACACCUUUCUCCGUCCUCUCAGACGCCAGUAACAACCAGCACCAGCCAAUGGAGUGGAAGAGUUAUCCGGAGGACCCCGCCCACUUCCAAUCCAUCAACCAAUCGUAUGACGUGGACACGCCCUCAGGGCUCUGGCUCCAGGGAGGGUCAGGGUCAGAGGGGUCGUUGAAAGGUCAUUACCCCGCGGGGAAGCAGCUGACCCCUGAGAACGGAGGUGGUGGUCAGGGAGGGGCGUCAAGGGCCAAACGUAGACUGGUCAUGCACACGACAGAGGGGAACAGGGGAGGAGGACGAAGAGGGGUGAUGGACAGGCCUCCCUCCAGUACUCCUGAAGCUGCGGUGCUGUCACACAGUCAGGAGAGCCAGCAGCUGAAGCAGCUCCAGCUGACCCAUGCAGGCCAGGUCAGAGCCCUGAAGGAGGAGCAGAGGAGACAGCAGCAACAACUACUGCAGUCUCCCAGGUGUCUGUCUGUGUGUUAUGGUCCCCUGGUGGCAGCAGCAGUGAAGGGAUACCUAACCAGGAGGCUCCUACACACAGAGAGAGUGGGACAGCUGCUAUGUACCAUCAAGGACACGCAGCAGUUCCUACAGUCCUUCCAGCCCCAGAGCCCUGGGAGAGACAGCAGGCAAGACCUGGUGCUGCAGGAGAGAGUCACACUGCAGUCUCUACACACACACUGGUGCGCACAACACAGUCUCUACACACACACACACACUCUGGC